UACGAAGGGGGCUAGCGUUGCUCGGAAUCACUGGGCGUAAAGCGCACGUAGGCGGCUUCCUAAGUCGGUGGUGAAAUCCUGGAGCUCAACUCCAGAACUGCCUUCGAUACUGGGAAGCUCGAGUCCGGGAGAGGUGAGUGGAACUGCGAGUGUAGAGGUGAAAUUCGUAGAUAUUCGCAAGAACACCAGUGGCGAAGGCGGCUCACUGGCCCGGUACUGACGCUGAGGUGCGAAAGCGUGGGGAGCAAACAGG
rnacentral:rRNA from 1 species